CCCUCUAGGUGCAAGAGAGGUCAGGAAAGUUUGGCGAUGAACCCUGCUCCCACUCCCAGAACCGACUCUGCAUGGAAGCAUGGCCAAUGGGAGCUGCUGGGGCAGCGCCUAUGGAUGUGGGCAGCACAUGCCACGCAGAGCCACUUGACCCCUUGGAUGUGGUGGCUGCUUCCAGGAGCCGCAUGGGACCAGGACAGGCAGGGAGCCUGCCUUAGCCUCGCUGCGUUCCUGACUGGGAAUUGCCUCAGGUACAUUUUGCCUGACAGGACGAUUGAAAGAUGAGAAUCAACAAGAAACUACAGGAAACAAAGGGACGUUUCAAACGGCAGUGGAAAUCUGCAAGCACAGUUCAUCGCAGGUACAGAACUGCAUACCCCAAAACAGAGGCUUGCUUUGAACAAUCAGAUUCAAAAUGUGUUUGGACAGACGAACAUAGGAGCCAAACCUCAACCUAAACCUUCCAUACAGUAAAUAUGAGAUCAAAUGACCUUCCAGAAAAAGACUUCUCCAAACUAACUUGGC